CUAGGGGGUCAGCUCCGGUGGGCUCCCAGACCCCACCAGGAGGGGCGACUCGUGUUUCACUUUCUGCUGUGUCAUGGGGCGUGGGGUGGUGGAGGGGCCCUGCUGGCCAGCCUGGCCGGGGCAGAGCCAGCGGACAGCUGCGGGCCCAGCUGCCAGAGCCCCGCCCCAGCCCUGCAGCCUGCCAGGAUGGGAGCUGGGCCCCAGGGCGCUUCUUUUUACCUCCCACUACAAGCACAGUGGGAGCACCCCGGCGGAGAAAACCCAGGAGCUGGCUGCCUGGAUCCUUGGGCUGGAGGGGACACCCUCAAAACAAAAUUUUAAGCCACACAGGGUCAAAAUCUUAAGACUUGUGACUUGAUACUGGAUCGGAUGGCCCAGCUGGACACCAGCCUCCUACUCGCGUUGGUUGCACAGAUGUCUGUUGGGGACCUGCCGUGUCCUGAGUACCGUGCCAGGGGCUGGCGUGACAGUGGUGAGGGUCAUGUAGCCCCUCCCCCCGUGGGGGUCUCAGUGGAGCCAGGGAGGAUGACAAGCGAGCAAACAAAGGGGUGGAGGAUCCCUUGUUAGGGUGAAAAUUCCGUGCUGAACACCACCGAGCUCAGGCCUGGGGUCUUGCGUGGCCCUGGGAGUCAGCAAGCUAAGCGCACAGACUGGGACCAGCUGUCCUGUGUUUAAAUCUGGACUCUUCUAUUGGCUGCUUGUGCAGCCUCUGGCAGGAGACUUCUCUCCGUGCCUCAGUUUCCUCAUCUAUAGGUACUAGAACUACAAGGGGCACUCAGAGCUGUGGUGAGAAUGAAAUACAUGGGCUGCCGUGAAGAACAGAACAGCGCUGGCGGUGCCGUAUGCCUUAGCCGUUACAGAAGAACAAUGAACGCAGACUGCUAGACGAUGAAAUCCACCCCUCAGAGCUCGCUGAGAGCGCUGGGAGUAUGUAUGGCUGAGCUGGUCCCCCUUGCCACACAUGACACAGUCACAGCCGGCCCUCAGGGUCCUCACUGAGGUAAGAGGAUGAGGGAACAGGCUCAGGCCUCCAGAGAGCUGUGUUGGAGAUGCGGUCCGCACCCACACUCAGGGCCACUUGUCAAGGAAGGGCUCCACUCUUGUUUCCAACUCUGCAACCGUCACCUUGAAAUUCUUAACCCUUCCGAACAAAAGGGCUCGUACAUCUUUAAUCCUGCCUUGAUGUUACUUAUGCUGAACCUCUUAACUACUGACAUCAACCAGCCGCACAGCUGGGUGCAGAGUAAUUUUCCAAUUUAGCAACAUAUGAGACUUGUGACCAAAAAAUACGAUGUUUCCUUUUUUAAAAAAUUACAGUAUUACCGUAAAAGACACACUGCCAUUAACCCCCCUCAGAAUACUGCCCCUGUUUCAAACACACUGAAUCCCACUUUUCUGGCCCCUUCCUGAAGCAGUUCUGAGGUCUUCGGUUAUGUCUUUAGUUGUGCUGCCCUGCCAAUCUCAGUGUUCUGCGUCUAUUCAAAAUGUUUAACUUUCGCGGUCAUUUUGACUUUGGGGAAGAGCCAAGAGUGCCAAAUGCAGUGCACAAGGUGGAUGAGGCCUCCCCAUGAUGUUUUUAUGAGCCUGCCUUUCUGGGAGCAGCAUUCACUGUAUUUUUAUCACAAAGACACUCCUGAAGGAGGACUCCCACAACUGCUUCAGAAAGUGGCAGGAAGGAUGGAAUAAAUGUGUUCAAAUGGAUGGGUAGAUUUUGAUGGGGAUUCAUCAAAAAACGAAACAAAAAAAAUAUCACUACCCCCAACUUAAAUGUUCACUGUAUAUUUUUUUAUUAUACCUCGUAGUGCUUUGUAAUGGAACUGAAAUUCCCAGGAGACUAUGAACACUUAUCACAGGCCGGAUAACCCAAAUGCUUGUUUGUCUGUCUGUGGUCCCCAGGAGAAGGCUGCCAGGGGUGGCAGCUGAAGGUAGAAGCCUUGUCUCCUUCCUGCCAGACCUUCAGAUCCUGGCCUGUAUUAGGUGCUCAGUUAAUAGUAGUGAACUGAAGCCAAAGAUUUGGGGCCGCUGUGUCUCCUACUUCCAUGACCCUUCCAGGGAAGUAGGUGACGGGUGCGGUGUCAGUCCUGGCCACCCCAGCUGGCCUCCGGAGAGCCCCUGAGGGUGUGGAGAUUCUCCUACCCCUUGCCCAAGCCUGCUUACUCUUUAACAGCUUCUGCUUCAGGGUUCAGAGGCAACCCAGACCAUGGAGACCUGCAUUUCAGAGGCCUGCACUGGGAAAGAGGCGGGGUCUAGCCAAAAGAAUACUAGGGUUCUCAGGCUGAGCAGGUUCAAGACCCAGCUGGAGGUCAGGGGUCACGGCUUCUGGAAGUGUGAAAUGAGAUCAUUUUCCCUCUGAUAUUAAAAUUCAUCUACACUCUCAAAAACCUGAAAGUAUAAAUAUUACUAAAAGCAGAGAGCUAUUUCAAAAGCCUUUCGGGCAUUUAUAAUAAUAAACACAUACGGUUCUUCGCCAGCCUUUUUCACAAGCCUAAUCCAUCCUUUUAGAUGACAAGCCAUGAAGCCAUUGUCGUCAUCAUUGUCUAAAUAACAUCAUACCCACCAACAUAUAUUGAGCUCUUUCUUUGUCUGAGGCACUUUUGACUUGUAUGAAGUCAUUUCAGUUGCACAAGCAACAGACAUGAGAGGUACUGCUACUGGCCCCAGCUCUCUGAUGAGGAAACAGGCUUCGAGAGAUGACCUUACUUGUCCAAGGUCACAUACCUAGCAUGUGACAAGCUGGGGUUCAAACCUGGGUCAAGCCAGAGAGUAACUCUUUGAGGCUCUGCAGGCUACAAAGACUUGCAGCUGCUCAGCUCUGCAGAUGUAAGUCAAAAGUAGCCCUAAACAAUACACAAAUGGAUGGCUAUGGCUUGGUGUUACAAUAAAACUUUAUUUAUAAAACCAGAAAGCAGGCCAAAUUUGGCUUAUAGCCCAUUUGCCAACCCUUGUUCCAAACCGAAAGGCUGCCUUUCAGUUAGAUCAACACAAACUUGACCCUGGCAGUGUUCUUUCCCGACCUGUGAGGUGACUUAUUUCCAUGCCAGAGCGGACAGCUGCUGUGUGUGGAGAAGGUAAGUUGAGUCUGCCUUCCUUGUGGAAAUUCUGAAACUCUUGGAACUUAAUCUAUUAGUGACUGCUCCUGUAAAACAUCCUGAGGUUUUUAAAUUGAAAUUUUAGUAGUUGUCAAUUGAGGCACUUUAUUUUGUGUGUGGUGAUGGGGAUCAAAUCCAGGGUCUUACACAUAUGCUGACAUGUUACACCACCGAGCUACACCCUCAGCUCCCUGAUUACCACCCCCCCACCCCGUACUGGGAAUUGAACCUAGGGAAUACUGAGUGAAGUCCCCAGCCCUUUUGAAAAAUUUUUGAACUUGUGAUCCUUUGGCCUCUGUCUCCUGUGUAGAUAGGGUUACAGGGUUGCACCUCCAUGGCCCCCGAUUAACUUUUAAAGAUGAAAGUGUUGUGGUUUAGGGAAAGACCUCAGUGGGACGCUUUUGCUGGGGAAGGCACUUCUCUGAGAUGAGAAGGAGGAGUAGGCCUGGGUAUAAACCUGUGGUAGAGCACCUGGCUAGCAUGUGUAAGGCCCUUGGUUCCAUUCCCAACACCACCAGGAAGAAAGAGCAAGAAAAAAAGGAAGGAAGGAAAGAAAGAAAGAAAUUUAAAGCAUAAGAAGACAGUGAGUGUGUGUGUGUGCGUAGGAGAGAGAGGGAGAAUUUCCCCAUAGGGUACCAAGGAGGCUGGAGCAUACCAAGAGAGUGGGGAAGAGGGCAUGAUGUUUAAAAAUAGCUUUAUUAAGAUGUAAUUUACUUAACAGGCAAUUCACUUUUUUCCCCAGUACUGAGGAUUGAACCCAGGGGCUGCAUAUUGAGCUACUUCCCCUCCCUUUUCAUUUUUAUUCUUUCAUUUAUUUAUUUUUUUUAUUUUUUUGAGACAAGGUCUUGCUAAAUGACUAAGUUGCUCAGCCUGGGUUUGAACUUGUGAUCCUCCUGCCUCAGCCUUCCAGAGUGGUGGGAUUAUAGGUGUGUACCAUUCACAUUUAAAAAGCACAAUUCAGUGGCUUGGAGUAUAUUAACAGAAUUGUGCAGCCAUCAUCAAUAAAUUUUAGAAUGUUUUCAUCACCUCAAAAAGAAGGCCCAUGCCCUUUAGCAGUCAUCCUGCCCACCCCAAUCUUCCAUUGCCGCCAACCCUAAGCAACCAUGAAUCUACUUCCUGUCUCUGUGAAUUUGCUUUUUCUGAACAUUUCCUAUAAAUGGGAUCAAACAGCCUUGGGUCCUUUGGGUCCGGCUUCUUGUUUAGGGUCUGAUAUUGCCAGGGUCCGGCCAUGUUGUAGCAUGUAUGAGGACUUCUUUCUUUUUCAUGACUGAGCAUCAACCUAACGUAUGGAUGGACGGACCAUAUUUUGUUUCUCCAUUUGGCAACUGAUGGGCUGUUUCUACUCUGGGGCUAUUAGGAAUAAUGCAGCUAUGAGUAUUCACGUAUGUUCUUGUGCAGACGUACAUUUCUGUUGGGCAUAUAGCUCAGAGUGGACAUGCUGGGUCAUGCAACAGCUCAAUGUUUAACGUUUGGUGGAACCACCUCUUUCAACUUUGUAUUUGGGACAUUUCCCACUGUACUUGAGAGUAGAGAAACUUUCGUAAUGUGCACCAGGUACCCAUUGUCCAGAUUCGACAAUGAUCAGCCUUUUGCCUAUCUUUUUCCCUCUGCCUUCUCUCUUCCUUUGUCUCCCACUGAGUAUCUUAUUCAGGCACUGCAUUUCAUGUUGUCCCAGCUGAGAGGCCAACAUUUUCUUUUAUCCCAAACCUUCAUUUGGAGUAGCCCAUAGCCACAUUCUUGUGUGAAUGGAAUUUGGGGGAAUGGAGGAGUUGGUCAGACUCCAGAGUGGUCAUGGUGUGGGAGGGGAGCAGCCCCUGAGUGAGGCAGGAUUAGCUAUACAAUUUGCAGGAUCUGGGUGAAAGGAACAUGUGGAACUCUUUGUUAAGAAGUUAAAGAUGGCAGAGCAUUAAAUCAAGCAUGGGCCUCAUGUAGCUGUAUAGGUUCUCUGCCCAUGAUGUCAGCCCAGCCCUUCAACCAGCGAAAAGGUGCCCAAGCAGAACUGGUUCAGCAGAUGCAGCAAUUUAGAACCUUGGAUACUGGGAGCAACAUAAACACCCCUCACCCUCAAUCUCUGGGAAGGUUCCAAGGGAAGUUGGGAAUGGUGUAGCAUAUGGGGCAAGAUGUAAACCCAUUUCAUUUUAAUCUCCAAAAAUAAGAUGACCCCAGCUGACAUGGGGGUUAUAAGCACUUAAAACAAUAAUCGUUUGUUGUAUGCCUUCUUCCUUGAGAGCUCACGGUUGUUUUAUUUGGCCACUCCAUUUUGUCCUGGGUUCUGAGUGUACUCUGAUAUCCCUGCAAAAGAUAGGGCUGCAGUCUUAAGAGCAGACACCCGCUGGGUUCCAAACAGCCCAGAGCUGUAGGGACCCAGGGUGCCCAACAGUAGCAGGUGGCCAUGGUAGACAUGGCUGCCAUUGAUGGCAACCAGUUCCUCCCAGCUCAGACACAGUUCCCACCAACCCAGGUGCCUCCUACUCCGUGUUUACCUAGGCUCAGCCCAAGGAUUCAUAAUCUUCUCCAACACCAAAGAUCCAGAGCCCCCUGUAUGGUUCAGGAUGAUGCCAGGGUGCAUUAUAUCAAGUGUCUUGUCAUGAAAGGGUAUACAGUACACGGCAAAAGGUGCCAGGGGUGGGCCUUGGUGAGAACAGGAAGGACAGCAUAGCUCUCCUGUUGGCCAAGGGGAGUUCACUCAUUCGUUCAGCCACUUGCUACCUACUGCACUUAAGGGCCUAUGGACUGGGCAAAAGCAAAACAGCAAUCAGCUGGGUAGACCUCUUCCACCACUCCACUGUCCUGACAAGCAGGUAAUAAAAAGAACAUUGUUAUAUUAUUUUGCUCAAUCUCCGAGUGUAGAAAUGGAAAUAAUUUUUAUCACACCAUUUUAUGUUUUUUCUUUUUUGGAGUGCUGGGUACUGAAUCCAACACCUCACAUGUGCUAGGAUGGCUCUAUCACUGAGCCACAUCCUCAGCCCUUACCCAGAUUUAAAAAAUGAUAUCUUACUUAUGGUAAGAAAAAUAAUGCAAGAGAGAGUAAGAUAAGAAAUAAAGGCAGGGCUGGGGAUUUAGCUCAGGGGUUCUGCCACCUGCCUCAAAAGUGCAAGGACCUGAGUUCGAUCCCCGGUACCAAAAAAAGCAAAAACAAAAGAAAUAAAGGGGUCCCUUUGCAAUUUUUCUGUAGCUUUGACCUCACUUUCUAAGAAGUAACCACUGUGUGCAGUUUUCACAGUCUUUGUACGUGUUGUAAGCGUGGUCAAAGUCACGGGGCUGUUGCUGAGGAGGUUAAGGGUGCCACAAUACACCCUGAGGACAGAACACCUCUCAGACCCACAUCACUCUUUUCAAUCACGUCCAGCAUCCCACUGCGCUUACUUACCCUGGCCCCUGCUGGCCAACGUUUGCAUUAACUCCAGGAUUUUGCCUUUAGCGUGCAUACGCACUUUGGCACAUGGCCAACUGCACUUUGUAGGACAAAUUCCUAGAAGUGGAAUUUCUCCAUCGGAGGAUAAACGUAUUUUGGAUUUCUACAGCGAUUGCCCAGUGCCCCUCAAACAGGCUACGAUUCACAAGCCCCUCAGCCUCGUGUGUGUGAGGGUGCCUGGUUCUGACAUACUUUUGCACCCCAGAAGGGCACAGUGUGGCAGGGGAAGCGGAUUCCCAGUGAGAGAGACACCAGAGGGCCUGGAAUCCCCCCAGGGAAACAGGGAGUCCCUGUCUCGACAGAGAUGCUCAGGACCUGUUCAUGGUGUGCCGUGUGGUGGCGCAAGAGAUGUCGGAGCGCCUCAAGACUGACUGCUCAUGCCCACCUCCCAAGCUUGGUGGGACUAUGUGGAGGAAGCGGAGGAAACUGGACGCCAUUGAACUGGCGUAUUGGGGCGAGGGCCGCAUUCGUAAAGGACUCUACUCCUGGGCUCGAGCUAUCCUCCUGCCUCAGCCUCCCAAGCAGCUGGGACUAGAGGCAAGUGCCGCGGUGCCCAGCAAUAAAGGACUUUCAAAUAUGCAGACAGAGGACUAAUCAGGAGUUUCACCUCCAGAAUUUCAAUGAAAAACAACCAUGGUGAACUGUGUUUCUAUCAUGCACCAGAAUCUACAUUCACACCUCUUUGUAUACUGAAACUUCCAUUCAAAAAAAUGGGCGGGACGCACUGCAGGGGGUUUUGCCCGCCUGCUUCUAUCUGCAGGAAGAAGGAAGUCAUGUGACCUAGACCUGGCCAUACUGAUUGGCUUUUGGAUAGGCACAUGACCCAUCUGGGCCAAUCAGAAUUUUCCUUAAAACUUUUGUGCUGAAAAUAUAGGAAAAGACCCCACCAGCUGCAUUUGCUGAGCUGAUGGCCCCUGUGAACUCCUGUAGAAGGUGCCUGAGAAAGAUAUGAAGCCGCAAAGAUAUGGAGCCCCUCUGGCAAUACGUGAGCUCCAUCUACAGCUGGAGGGAAGCUGUACUGACUCCCUGCAAUGUACAGUGAUGGGAACAAUAAAUUUCUGCUUAAACCAGUUUUCCUUGUAUGUGUGUUGCUUCUCACAGAGUGCUAAGAAAUAAGAAC
rnacentral:lncRNA from 1 species